rnacentral:lncRNA from 1 species
CAACUUUGGAGGCCCCGUCACCACUACCGGUAUUGGUGGCGGCUCUAGUGGAGUUCCAUCAACCACUGGAAUAUGAUGCUUUUGUGUCUUCAAAUCCAGAGUCCUGUGAAAGGAUCGAGACAUCCACACAGCAGACUGAACUGCAAAAGCAUUGGCAUUUCUCUUCUGGGCAUUUUCUUAGUCUCCUAGCUGGAGAUCCUGCAGAUGCCACUUCUUUUUCUUUGCAGCUUUGGGUCCACCGUUUUUCUUUCUGUGUUUCUUCUGGUCCUUAGUCUCCAUAGUGG